rnacentral:rRNA from 1 species
GAUGAACGCUAGCUACAGGCUUAACACAUGCAAGUCGAGGGGAAACGACAUCGAAAGCUUGCUUUUGAUGGGCGUCGACCGGCGCACGGGUGAGUAACGCGUAUCCAACCUGUCCAUCACUUGGGAAUAACCUUGCGAAAGUAAGACUAAUACCCAAUGAUAUCCCACGAAGGCAUCGGAAUGGGAUUAAAGAUUUAUCGGUGAUGGAUGGGGAUGCGUCUGAUUAGCUUGUUGGCGGGGUAACGGCCCACCAAGGCAACGAUCAGUAGGGGUUCUGAGAGGAAGGUCCCCCACAUUGGAACUGAGACACGGUCCAAACUCCUACGGGAGGCAGCAGUGAGGAAUAUUGGUCAAUGGGCGAGAGCCUGAACCAGCCAAGUAGCGUGCAGGAAGACGGCCCUAUGGGUUGUAAACUGCUUUUAUAAGGGAAUAAAGUGGGUCACGUGUGACUUUUUGCAUGUACCUUAUGAAUAAGGACCGGCUAAUUCCGUG